rnacentral:rRNA from 1 species
CCUACGGGAGUCAGCAGUGGGGAAUAUUGCACAAUGGAGGGAACUCUGAAGCAGCGACGCAGCGUGAGUGAAGAAGUAUCUCGGUAUGUAAAACUGUAUCAGCAGGGAAGAAAAUGACGUUACCUGACUAAGAUGCCACGGCUAACUACGUGCCGGCCGCCGCGGUAAUACGUAGGGGGCAGGCGUUAUCCGGAUUUACUGGGUGGAAAGGGAGCGUAGGCGGCAGGGCAAGUCUGGAGUGGAAGCCCGGGGCUCAACCCCGGGACUGCUGUGGAAACUGGGAUGCUUGAGUGCUGGAGAGGUAAGCGGAAUUCCUGGUGUAGCGGUGAAAUGCGUAGAUAUUAGGAAGAACACCAAUGGCGAAGGCGGCUUACUGGACAGUAACUGACGUUGAGGCUCGAAAGCGUGGGGAGCGAACAGGAUUAGAUACCCGUGUAGUC